UGUUGUAGGGAUGUCCAAAAUGGUAAUUUUUGUUUGUUUUAUUUGAUUUAUUAUAUUUUGAUCAUUCUUGAACAAUUUCCAUCAAUAUAUCAAUAAAUCAAAACAGAAUUAAAUUUCAAACGUGACACCCCGGCAUCAUACCAAAACUGAUAGCUGCGAGGGCUGAUAAGACCGUCUCGAACGAUGAUUCACCGCUUGUACGUGGUCUACAGAGAACGUCUUUGCACACGGCACACACCCCGGACUGGGACAGGUGUUGCACACGCUUUAAACUUGUCUAUAAAACUCAACACCCCGGCCAUGUUCUGGUAUCAGUCUGAGCAAGUUGCAACGAGCUUCCAUUUGAGUUCGAGAUAAGAAUUGUUGGUGUUUUUGUUGGAACGUUUGAAACAGAUAGCCGAUCAAGAUGCCUUGCAAAUGCUGUGGAAAUGAUUGCCGAUGCACUGCCGAGUGUGGACCUAACAAGCCCUGCAGUGCUGAGUGCAACUGCAGCUGCAGGCAGGAAUCGGGCAAGUGCUGCUGUCAAACUGGAAGCUGCAAGCAGUGAUGCUGACAAGUCGAAAACCGGUCAUACGUUAGCCUUUAAGAAAUUUCAAUUCGGUCAUAUUAGAUGUAAGGACAUUUUCGGUCAUAUUAGAGUUAAAUAAAGUCGGUCAUAUUACAGUUCUAGUCAAA